rnacentral:rRNA from 1 species
CAGUACCGUGAGGGAAAGGCGAAAAGAACCCCGGCGAGGGGAGUGAAAAAGAACCUGAAACCGUGUACGUACAAGCAGUGGGAGCACCCUUUGGGGUGUGACUGCGUACCUUUUGUAUAAUGGGUCAGCGACUUAUAUUCUGUAGCAAGGUUAACCGAAUAGGGGAGCCGGAGGGAAACCGAGUCUUAAUUGGGCGUUAAGUUGCAGGGUAUAGACCCGAAACCCGGUGAUCUAGCCAUGGGCAGGUUGAAGGUUGGGUAACACUAACUGGAGGACCGAACCGACUAAUGUUGAAAAAUUAGCGGAUGACCUGUGGCUGGGGGUGAAAGGCCAAUCAAACCGGGAGAUAGCUGGUUCUCCCCGAAAGCUAUUUAGGUAGCGCCUCGUGAAUUCAUCUCCGGGGGUAGAGCACUGUUUCGGCUAGGGGGCCAUCCCGGCUUACCAACCCGAUGCAAACUGCGAAUACCGGAGAAUGUUAUCACGGGAGACACACGGCGGGUGCUAACGUCCGUCGUGAAGAGGGAAACAACCCAGACCGCCAGCUAAGGUCCCAAAGUCAUAGUUAAGUGGGAAACGAUGUGGGAAGGCCCAGACAGCCAGGAUGUUGGCUUAGAAGCAGCCAUCAUUUAAAGAAAGCGUAAUAGCUCACUGGUCGAGUCGGCCUGCGCGGAAGAUGUAACGGGGCUAAACUAUGCACCGAAGCUGCGGCAGCGACACUAUGUGUUGUUGGGUAGGGGAGCGUUCUGUAAGCCUGUGAAGGUGUGUCGUGAGGCAUGCUGGAGGUAUCAGAAGUGCGAAUGCUGACAUAAGUAACGAUAAAGCGGGUGAAAAGCCCGCUCGCCGGAAGACCAAGGGUUCCUGUCCAACGUUAAUCGGGGCAGGGUGAGUCGACCCCUAAGGCGAGGCCGAAAGGCGUAGUCGAUGGGAAACGGGUUAAUAUUCCCGUACUUGGUGUUACUGCGAAGGGGGGACGGAGAAGGCUAUGUUGGCCGGGCGACGGUUGUCCCGGUUUAAGCGUGUAGGUGUGUGUUCCAGGUAAAUCCGGUUCACUUUAACACUGAGGCGUGAUGACGAGGCACUACGGUGCUGAAGCAACAAAUGCCCUGCUUCCAGGAAAAGCCUCUAAGCAUCAGGUAACAUCAAAUCGUACCCCAAACCGACACAGGUGGUCAGGUAGAGAAUACCAAGGCGCUUGAGAGAACUCGGGUGAAGGAACUAGGCAAAAUGGUGCCGUAACUUCGGGAGAAGGCACGCUGACACGUAGGUGAAGUGAUUUACUCAUGGAGCUGAAGUCAGUCGAAGAUACCAGCUGGCUGCAACUGUUUAUUAAAAACACAGCACUGUGCAAACACGAAAGUGGACGUAUACGGUGUGACGCCUGCCCGGUGCCGGAAGGUUAAUUGAUGGGGUCAGCGCAAGCGAAGCUCCUGAUCGAAGCCCCGGUAAACGGCGGCCGUAACUAUAACGGUCCUAAGGUAGCGAAAUUCCUUGUCGGGUAAGUUCCGACCUGCACGAAUGGCGUAAUGAUGGCCAGGCUGUCUCCACCCGAGACUCAGUGAAAUUGAACUCGCUGUGAAGAUGCAGUGUACCCGCGGCAAGACGGAAAGACCCCGUGAACCUUUACUAUAGCUUGACACUGAACAUUGAGCCUUGAUGUGUAG